UCUUCCCUCUUUCUUCGUGCCUAAUACAUGCAAGUCGAGCGAACGGACGAGAAGCUUGCUUUUCUGAUGUUAGCGGCGGACGGGUGAGUAACACGUGGAUAACCUACCUAUAAGACUGGGAUAACUUCGGGAAACCGGAGCUAAUACCGGAUAAUAUUUUGAACCGCAUGGUUCAAAAGUGAAAGACGGUCUUGCUGUCACUUAUAGAUGGAUCCGCGCUGCAUUAGCUAGUUGGUAAGGUAACGGCUUACCAAGGCAACGAUGCAUAGCCGACCUGAGAGGGUGAUCGGCCACACUGGAACUGAGACACGGUCCAGACUCCUACGGGAGGCAGCAGUAGGGAAUCUUCCGCAAUGGGCGAAAGCCUGACGGAGCAACGCCGCGUGAGUGAUGAAGGUCUUCGGAUCGUAAAACUCUGUUAUUAGGGAAGAACAUAUGUGUAAGUAACUGUGCACAUCUUGACGGUACCUAAUCAGAAAGCCACGGCUAACUACGUG
rnacentral:rRNA from 1 species